GAUGAACGCUGGCGGCGUGCUUAACACAUGCAAGUCGAACGGAAAGGCCCAAGCUUGCUUGGGUCCUCGAGUGGCGAACGGGUGAGUAACACGUGGGUGAUCUGCCCUGCACUUCGGGAUAAGCCUGGGAAACUGGGUCUAAUACCGGAUAGGACGAUGGUUUGGAUGCCAUUGUGGAAAGUUUUUUCGGUGUGGGAUGAGCUCGCGGCCUAUCAGCUUGUUGGUGGGGUAAUGGCCUACCAAGGCGUCGACGGGUAGCCGGCCUGUGAGGGUGUACGGCCACAUUGGGACUGAGAUACGGCCCAGACUCCUACGGGAGGCAGCAGUGGGGAAUAUUGCACAAUGGGCGCAAGCCUGAUGCAGCGACGCCGCGUGGGGGAUGACGGCCUUCGGGUGGUAAACUCCUUUCGCUAGGGACGAAGCGUUUUUGUGACGGUACCUGGAGAAGAAGCACCGGCUAACUACGUG
rnacentral:rRNA from 1 species